rnacentral:miRNA from 1 species
UUGGACACUAAGUACUGCCACA